rnacentral:tRNA from 1 species
GGAGCUGUGGCUCUGUGGCAGAGCAUCUGCCUGGCAUGCAGAAGGCCCCAGGUUCAAUCCUCAAUAUCUCCA